rnacentral:rRNA from 1 species
AGAGUUUGAUCCUGGCUCAGGAUGAACGCUGGCGGCGUGCCUAAUACAUGCAAGUCGAGCGAACGGACGAGAAGCUUGCUUCUCUGAUGUUAGCGGCGGACGGGUGAGUAACACGUGGAUAACCUACCUAUAAGACUGGGAUAACUUCGGGAAACCGGAGCUAAUACCGGAUAAUAUUUUGAACCGCAUGGUUCAAAAGUGAAAGACGGUCUUGCUGUCACUUAUAGAUGGAUCCGCGCUGCAUUAGCUAGUUGGUAAGGUAACGGCUUACCAAGGCAACGAUGCAUAGCCGACCUGAGAGGGUGAUCGGCCACACUGGAACUGAGACACGGUCCAGACUCCUACGGGAGGCAGCAGUAGGGAAUCUUCCGCAAUGGGCGAAAGCCUGACGGAGCAACGCCGCGUGAGUGAUGAAGGUCUUCGGAUCGUAAAACUCUGUUAUUAGGGAAGAACAUAUGUGUAAGUAACUGUGCACAUCUUGACGGUACCUAAUCAGAAAGCCACGGCUAACUACGUGCCAGCAGCCGCGGUAAUACGUAGGUGGCAAGCGUUAUCCGGAAUUAUUGGGCGUAAAGCGCGCGUAGGCGGUUUUUUAAGUCUGAUGUGAAAGCCCACGGCUCAACCGUGGAGGGUCAUUGGAAACUGGAAAACUUGAGUGCAGAAGAGGAAAGUGGAAUUCCAUGUGUAGCGGUGAAAUGCGCAGAGAUAUGGAGGAACACCAGUGGCGAAGGUGACUUUCUGGUCUGUAACUGACGCUGAUGUGCGAAAGCGUGGGGAUCAAACAGGAUUAGAUACCCUGGUAGUCCACGCCGUAAACGAUGAGUGCUAAGUGUUAGGGGGUUUCCGCCCCUUAGUGCUGCAGCUAACGCAUUAAGCACUCCGCCUGGGGAGUACGACCGCAAGGUUGAAACUCAAAGGAAUUGACGGGGACCCGCACAAGCGGUGGAGCAUGUGGUUUAAUUCGAAGCAACGCGAAGAACCUUACCAAAUCUUGACAUCCUUUGACAACUCUAGAGAUAGAGCCUUCCCCUUCGGGGGACAAAGUGACAGGUGGUGCAUGGUUGUCGUCAGCUCGUGUCGUGAGAUGUUGGGUUAAGUCCCGCAACGAGCGCAACCCUUAAGCUUAGUUGCCAUCAUUAAGUUGGGCACUCUAAGUUGACUGCCGGUGACAAACCGGAGGAAGGUGGGGAUGACGUCAAAUCAUCAUGCCCCUUAUGAUUUGGGCUACACACGUGCUACAAUGGACAAUACAAAGGGCAGCGAAACCGCGAGGUCAAGCAAAUCCCAUAAAGUUGUUCUCAGUUCGGAUUGUAGUCUGCAACUCGACUACAUGAAGCUGGAAUCGCUAGUAAUCGUAGAUCAGCAUGCUACGGUGAAUACGUUCCCGGGUCUUGUACACACCGCCCGUCACACCACGAGAGUUUGUAACACCCGAAGCCGGUGGAGUAACCUUUUAGGAGCUAGCCGUCGAAGGUGGGACAAAUGAUUGGGGUGAAGUCGUAACAAGGUAGCCGUAUCGGAAGGUGCGGCUGGAUCACCU